GAAAACACUAGUGAGUAAUAUUGCAUUUCUGUUGUAUGUUCUUUUAUGGGUGCAUACAAAUAUUCUGAUACGGUUAAAGGUCAUUUAUUUCUGGGUGCUAGGGUCUCCAAAGAAUUGCUUUCAUACAUAUCUAAGCUUAUGCUAUUACAAAGGGAAAAAAAAUCAAUUGCUUCUCUUUAACAAAUAGGCUGAAGCACAAUACGCCAUGUGAUUAUGGCUUAACACAUUUCCUGAAGGCACUUGAUCUUUUUCCAGCUUUCUGCAGUCAAGAGCCAGAAUAAUGUUAUAUUUUUCUUCCCAAUUGAUUGCUUUGUACAACUCAGCUGGAAUGUUUGGCUGAGUUAUUUAUUGACUGGAAAGUACAUAUACUAACUGUAUUUUCUUCUACAAAUGCCAGGGAUAAUUUUAUUGUAUUUUAUUUUAGUGUUUAACCUAAUCAUCUUCUGGUUUCAUGUUUUUGAUCAUGGCAAUUAUCUAUACUUGUCAAUGAGAUCGAAGUUGGAAUGAAUUUGCUCUUUUGCACAAAAAGAUGAAUUGAGUUUAUGAUGUUGGUUGGUUCAUGAUACUUGAUUCGGCGAGACUAAUAGUUGAGUUUAUUAAUGUGUUGAUAAGAUUAUGAUGUAUAAAUUAGAGUUAGUUCAACAAGUUGUAAUGAACUUAAAAGAAGCGAUCACAAUGAAUUAAAAAUUUAAUUCAGUUUUUUUUUUUUUUUUUAACAAAAAAAUUGACUUGCCAAAUCAUCCUAGCAUCUUUUCAAUUCUUCCUCUUCCUCUUGCUUCGUUAUCA
rnacentral:lncRNA from 1 species